AUGACGCCAACAGAAUCUCCAGUGAUCUUUCUGUAAAGGACUUGGAAAAAUUGGUUCGAAGAAUUUCUCGAUUAGGCAAGAAGGAUCCUAUUCCCUCCUCCUGUCGAGUGGAACCAUACAGUGCUUCCAAUCCUCUUCCCGAGAAUCAUCCUACUAUGGCUUCCCUUCCUCCUCUUCCCGAGGAUGGAGAGGUCGAAGAAAGAGCCGUUGUCGAUGAUGUCAACCGGGAGACCCCCUCUUUUGUGAAUGAACCCGCAGAUUCUCGAAAAUCUGCGGGAUCUACUGAGAAGGAUGCUGCCUCUGAAGAUACAACAUCAGCGCAAUCUCCUCCUCCUGCUGUUUCUCCGAAGAGCAAAAGGAAAAGGAGCAAUGCCGAAGAUUCCGGGACCUCGAAACCCGAAGAAACUGCUCCUGCACCUCGAAAAGCAGCUUAUGAUCCAUACAUCGAGAGUAUCAUCAGCUCUGAUGAUGAAGAAACACCAACUUUAGAUGUGGCUGCUCGAACGAGCACGUCACAUACUUUAGUUAUUUCAGAAAAACCAGUUGAAGGGGGA